rnacentral:rRNA from 1 species
UGGGGAAUUUUGGACAAUGGGCGCAAGCCUGAUCCAGCCAUGCCGCGUGCAGGAUGAAGGCCUUCGGGUUGUAAACUGCUUUUGUACGGAACGAAAAGACUCCUUCUAAUAAAGGGGGUCCAUGACGGUACCGUAAGAAUAAGCACCGGCUAACUACGUGCCAGCAGCCGCGGUAAUACGUAGGGUGCGAGCGUUAAUCGGAAUUACUGGGCGUAAAGCGUGCGCAGGCGGUUAUGUAAGACAGAUGUGAAAUCCCCGGGCUCAACCUGGGAACUGCAUUUGUGACUGCAUAGCUAGAGUACGGCAGAGGGGGAUGGAAUUCCGCGUGUAGCAGUGAAAUGCGUAGAUAUGCGGAGGAACACCGAUGGCGAAGGCAAUCCCCUGGGCCUGUACUGACGCUCAUGCACGAAAGCGUGGGGAGCAAACAGG